CUAAGAAUAUUCCGCAAUGGACGGAAGUCUGACGGAGCGACGCCGCGUGGAUGACGAAGGCCGAAAGGUUGUAAAGUUCUUUUGCUGGGGAAGAAUAACCGCAGGAGGGGAUGCCUGUGGGAUGACAAGAACCGGCGAAUAAGCCCCGGCCAACUACGUGCCAGCAGCCGCGGUAACACGUAGGGGGCGAGCGUUGUUCGGAAUUACUGGGCGUAAAGGGCAUGUAGGCGGCUUGGAAAGCCUGGCGUGAAAGUCUGCAGCUUAACUGCAGGGGUGCGCUGGGAACUGCUGAGCUUGAGUGACGGAGAGGGAGCUGGAAUUCCUGGUGUAGGGGUGAAAUCUGUAGAUAUCAGGAAGAACACCGAUGGCGAAGGCAAGCUCCUGGCCGAUGACUGACGCUGAGGUGCGAAAGUGUGGGGAUCAAACAGGAUUAGAUACCCUGGUAGUCCACACAGUCAACGAUGUGCACUAGGUGCUGGGGCGGUAGUCUGUCGGUCGGCGGCGAGCAGCGGUGAUGAGUGCACCGCCUGGGGAGUAUGCUCGCAAGGGUGAAACUCAAAGGGAAUUGACGGGGGUC
rnacentral:rRNA from 1 species